CAAGAUGCCUACCUCUUCUCUGGUUGUCUUUCUUUAAAAUAGACAUGAAUAUGUACUUGGAAACAAAAUGGACUAAAAUGUGUUUUAAGAUCCUUGAAUCAGAAUGGUGGUGUAAGGUGUAAUUGUUACCUCUUCAUGUGGCUAGUCAUCCAUUCCAUGCUGACUCUCACAGAAUACAAACUGCAAAGAAAAACCCAUGAACAGGCAAUAAAACAAGAGGCCUCUGUUUGAUCUGUUCUGACCACUAUCAAAAGAGAUUGCACUGCACCCUAUCAGAAGAGCCAGGGAAUGGAAGAAAGUAGUUGGAUGUGUAGAAGGGAUGCUACCAGGCAUUGCAGGGGGAAGACUCAUCGCAAGGCUGGAAAGAGGAAACAAAAGAAAGAAGAAAACACAGUGAUCACUACUCUAUUCUGGGCAUUUUGCUCACACAACACAGAUGCCCCCCAAUAAUUCUGCAAAACAAUGGUAUGAGGGGAGCCACUUCCUCCAUCAGACAUUCCCACCAUGAUAAGCUGCCUUGCCACAGGCCCAAAAGCAAUGAGGCCAACCAACUAUAGUCUGAAACAUUUAAAACUGAUGAGCCAGA